rnacentral:lncRNA from 1 species
GGUUUGUGUUUCAGUCUUUUCAAACAGGUUUCUACUAGGUUUCAGAGAAUCUGGGAUUAUGUCAAAGUUUUGUUUUUUUCUUCCUUCUAUGGUUUAUUACUUUAAUGCAGCUUCAAAUCCCACCUUUACAAUGUACUCAACUCGAUCUUUAGUUGCAUAUGUUUUAAUUAAUAUCACAAGUUUGUUGUUGAAGCUGAAAACAUUGAUGUGUGCAUGACUUAUUAAUUAUUGAAGGUCAAAGAAGAGUUAAAUUAACCAGGGUGAAAGAAGAGAUAUCAUCCAUGGCGAUGCUUCUUCUUUGUUUACUAUCUGCACUGCUUCGUCAUAGUUAUCAAAUAUAUGGUGGAAGAAGCCAUACAAGUUCACAACACAAAAAGUAUUUUGAUUGGAAAUAUAAAUAAGAUUGAACAAAAGUGAAGAAAGCAGAGGCCAUGUUUGGAGACAAGUAAACGACAACAACAAAUUAAUAGAUACUCUGUUUUGCUUUGGCCUCUGAAUGGUAAGAGCGGAACGAACCUGUGAUUUAUAUACGAAGAAAAUGUAUUCUGGAAUAAAUGCGGUUCAUCUGAAAUAAGUAGACUAAAACAAAAUAUGAAUUGUGACAUAUAUAACAAAUAUUGUAAUAUACAUAUAAUAUAUUUAUAUUUUAAAAUUUAAGAUAAGUUAUACUAAUAUAAUUUUAAAUAUACUUAUAUUUCUAUUCUUUUUAUUCCAUUUGUUUGUAUUCUGUUUUUCUGAAUUCAUCCUAUUCAUCUUAUUCCUCUAACUUAAAACCAGUUGCAGCCGAAGCUUUUUCUUUCCAAAAGAGGUUUAUAAAACUUGUGUAGAAUUUGGUCCAGCACUUGUUAUUGUUUUGUUACGUUAUAAGAAAGCAAAAAAUUAAAGCUAUGUAUGAAUGGUGACUAAAAAGUGUCCCGCACAUUGAAACGCCCGCUCGGCUCAAAACAUUCAUAACCUUAGUGUGUGUGUGUGUGCAGUUUACAUGAUUUUCACAGAGCUAGGAACAUAAGAGCACACAAACACAGGUGGCCUACGACAUGCGUCUGCGGGGAGGCUAAGAGAAUGAUGUACGACUCCUCCCAGAUUCACUUGUUUGAAGUGUCCAUUUCUACCAAUGAUGCAAGCAGUGUUGCGAGUAAUGCGGCCAACCUCAUCUCUGGCUUCAUCAAGAACCACUGCCACCUCCUCGUCUUCGUCAACGAAGAAACUCCCACCGUUGUCAAGAAACAGUGAGGAGGAGAAAGACGAGCAAGAAGAUACUGUAACUGAACAGAGCGGUCUUGAAGAAAAUGUCACAAUUGCUGGCAGUAAAAAAGAUCCCCUUUUGAGAAGGCAGGAGUUGCUAGUCAAGAGUGGCCUUGCUGAGGUAUCUUUGAGUGUGACUCGUUUCGUAGAUUUUGUUUUAUUGUAGUUUUCUUACCACUCAUGAGACAUUCUUAAAUUUGCUGAACAGCGGCUUAUUGAUGUCUGUGUGGAGAACGCUGAGGAAUUCCUGAAGUCUAACUUUGCCAAAGAAGUCAUGUAUGAGGUAUUGAGUUUUGGCUUCUAUCAUUUUUUUUGGAUUUAGUCCUGUUAUAUGAACGAUAGUAGAAAGUUAAAUGGUUGUGUUACCAAAUUCACCAUAUACUUUGAUCUGAUCUCCUUCUGUAUUGUCAUGUUUUAUUACAUAUCAGGUGGCCGUGGGAGGGUGUGAUGGUAUUCUUUUGCCAACUUUGAGCGAGAAUCUGCGUGAGCUGUACCAAGCCAUUGCCUCUGUAGCAGCAGAGCCGAAACCCGAAGAAUCAGAAAAGAGUUCACAGCACAUCCUGGAAGACUUUCACUCAAGCCGAACAAUUAGAAGGCUGGUCUUGGACAGCCCUACUUUUGCUUCCAUUCUUUUUAAGAAGGCCUUGUCUGGAAAGUGUCGGUCAUGGGCUCAAGGACACUGGUUAGCCUCUAAUCACUUCACUCAUUUAUCCAUUUUAUUUGCAAACAAUCUGAAUCUGUGUUCAAUCUCCUCUUUUUCUGCAGUUCAAGGAUAUUAUCUGCUUUCUUAGAGACUCAAGAUGUUCAAGUGCGUGAGAUGGCUAAGGAAGAGCUGCAAGUGUUGGUGGACGAAGGUGCUCUAAAGAUCACAGGAACCAAGAAACCCGAAUGAUGCACAGCCAGUACUGCUGAAUCACUUGGUGGUUUGUGUUUCAGUCUUUUCAAACAGGUUUCUACUAGGUUUCAGAGAAUCUGGGAUUAUGUCAAAGUUUUGUUUUUUUCUUCCUUCUAUGGUUUAUUACUUUAAUGCAGCUUCAAAUCCCACCUUUACAAUGUACUCAACUCGAUCUUUAGUUGCAUAUGUUUUAAUUAAUAUCACAAGUUUGUUGUUGAAGCUGAAAACAUUGAUGUGUGCAUGACUUAUUAAUUAUUGAAGGUCAAAGAAGAG